rnacentral:rRNA from 1 species
AGAGUUUGAUCCUGGUUCAGGACGAACGCUGGCGGCGUGCUUAACACAUGCAAGUCGAACGAGAUCCAGCCGAGCCUCGGGCAGAGCGAAGAUCUAGUGGCGAACGGGUGCGUAACACGUGAGAAACCUGCCCCGGACUUGGGAAUAACAGUCGGAAACGGCUGCUAAUACCGAAUAUCUUCGUAGCGUCGCAUGGCGCAUCGAAGAAAGCUUUUGCGGUCUGGGAGGGUCUCGCGGCCUAUCAGCUAGUUGGUGAGGUAACGGCUCACCAAGGCAUCGACGGGUAGCUGGUCUGAGAGGAUGAUCAGCCACACUGGGACUGAGACACGGCCCAGACUCCUACGGGAGGCAGCAGUGGGGAAUAUUGGACAAUGGGCGCAAGCCUGAUCCAGCAAUACCGCGUGUGCGAUGAAGGCCUUCGGGUCGUAAAGCACUUUUUGCAGGGACGAGGAAGGACGGUACCUGCAGAAUAAGUCUCGGCUAACUACGUGCCAGCAGCCGCGGUAAAACGUAGGAGACGAGCGUUAUCCGGAUUUACUGGGCGUAAAGCGCGUGCAGGCGGCAUGGCAAGUUGGAUGUGAAAGCUCCUGGCUUAACUGGGAGAGGUCGUUCAAUACUGCCAAGCUUGGGAGUGGUAGAGGGAAGCGGAAUUCCGGGUGUAGUGGUGAAAUGCGUAGAUAUCCGGAGGAACACCAGUGGCGAAAGCGGCUUCCUGGCCCAUUUCUGACGCUCAGACGCGAAAGCUAGGGUAGCAAACGGGAUUAGAGACCCCGGUAGUCCUAGCCGUAAACGAUGUGAACUUGGCGUUGGUGGGUUCAAAUCCAUCAGUGCCGAAGCUAACGCGAUAAGUUCACCGCCUGGGGACUACGGCCGCAAGGUUAAAACUCAAAUGAAUUGACGG